ensembl:lncRNA
GCGUGAAUGUGUUGGAAUACGGAAAUUAUAUCAAGUAGGAUUUUGGUAUAAAAACACAUUCUAUCCUAUGUAGACUAACCAUAUGUUGUGUUUAUAGCAGCAGGACCACACACACACACACACGAAAAAUUUGGUUAUCUUUGAUUUCUCUUAGGAGGGUUCCCCGACUUCAAAGUGCGACGCUCGGCCCCUAACACCUCACCCUGUUACGGCCCACCCUGUGGCCUCUGCAGCCAAACAAUCAGCCAGACAGCCGGACCCCUGAUGUGUGCCCACACAUCCUGCCGACAGGACCAUCUGACGACAGGCGGGCUGCUGGCCCCCACUCCGAGGAGGGCUACGACAGGUGCAGCAGGUGCCAGCGACCGUUAAGAUCGGAUUGGACACACUGCUACUACGGUUCUGCAACAACUAGGCUGGGUUAACGCUGGCUGGGAGACGCAAGAGGGGGGAAAAGAACUGCAGUCAUUUAGGACAUUUUUAUUAGCGCUUCAGGCGAGUAGCAGUGAGGUAGAGCUAACCUUGAGCUCUCAAUGCAUUACAGCUUGGGUUGGUUGAGGUGGACAUGGGCUAGGCAGGGAAUUAGCUCAUCAGAGUUUGAGUGUAGCAUUGCGUUUCUGAUUUCAACACCAGUAUAAACGACGCUGACUGGUGCAUUCAGGGAAGCUGCUCUUUAGAGAGAACACUUUUAUGAAAGAUACGUUUAAGGUUUAUCCUCUUUAUUGUAGAGUAGACUUGAAAAUAGUGCCCUGACCGGCUGGGGUACUAGAGGCUGGGGUACUAGAGGGUACUAGAGGGCACUAGAGGCUGGGGUACUAGAGGCACUAGAGGGCACUAGAGGCUGGGGUACUAGAGGUACUAGAAGCUGGGGCACUAGUGGUACUAGAGGCUGGGGUACUAGAGGUACUAGAGGGUACUAGAGGCUGGGGCACUAGAGGCUCGGGCACUAGAGGCUGGGGCACUAGAGGCUGGGGCACUAGAGGCACUAGAGGAUGGGGUACUAGAGGGCACUAGAGGCUGGGGCACUAUAGGUACUAGAGGCUGGGGCACUAGAGGCUUGGGCACUAGAGGCUGGGGGACUAGAGGCACUAGAGGCUGGGGCACUAGAGGCUGGGGUACUAGAGGGUACUAGAGGCUGGGGUACUAGAGGCUGGGGCACUAGAGGCUGCGGUACUAGAGGCUGGGGCACCAGAGGCUGGGGCAAUAGAGGCUGGGGCACCAGAGGCUGGGGCAAUAGAGGCUGGGGCACUAUAGGUACUAGAGGCUGGGGCACUAGAGGCUGGGGCACUAGAGGCUGGGGUACUAGGGGCUGGGGCACUAGAGGCUGGGGUACUAGAGGCUGGGGUACUAGAGGCCUGCGUGAGGAGCAUCCGAUCGGACAGCGAGAGGUAUUCCGCAUAUCGGAGAGGCUUGGAUAAAUGUUUUGGUGGAGAACAGCCGUGGGCUCAUGGAGGACUGUCAGUCAUGCGGGGGGAGAGGGGGGGGGUAAGCAGCCUCCUCAAGCCAACCAAGACCGUCAAUCAUAACGAAAAUUAAGAAGGAAAAGGGAGACAAAUACUAGAGUCAAUGGGCUGGGGGUGGAUCCACCAGUCUGCAAACACGGAACAUAACCUUCCGUCUUUAGACCAAUUACACAGCACGACGAGGUCCUUAGGAGAAUAAAGAAUAGGUCAAGACGAUUAUGGAACACAAAAG